rnacentral:rRNA from 1 species
UUUAAAUCCUUUAACGAGGAUCAAUUGGAGGGCAAGUCUGGUGCCAGCAGCCGCGGUAAUUCCAGCUCCAAUAGCGUAUACUAAAAUUGUUGCAGUUAAAAAGCUCGUAGUUGGAUCUCGGGUGCCGGCAGGCGGUUGGCCGCAAGGCCUCAACUGCCCGCUCCGGCCCGGCCUCCUGGUCGUGCCCUGGUUCUCUUGACCGAGUGCCUUGGGUGACCGGAACUUUUACUUUGAUAAAAUUAGAGUGUUCAAGGCAGGCUGUCGGCCUGAAUGGUGGUGCAUGGAAUAAUGGAAUAGGACCUCGGUUCCGUUCUGUUGGUUCUCCGGAAGCGGAGGUAAUGAUUAAGAGGGACGGCCGGGGGCAUUCGUAUUACGGUGUUAGAGGUGAAAUUCUGUGAUCAUCGUAAGACGCCCAGAAGCGAAAGCGUUUGCCAAGAACGUUUUCAUUAAUCAAGAACGAAAGUCAGAGGUUCGAAGACGAUCAGAUACCGUCGUAGUUCUGACCAUAAACGAUGCCGACUAGCGAUCUAUCGGAGUUGCAUCGCGACCCGGCAGGCUGCCCCCGGGAAACCAAAGUCUUUGGGUUCCGGGGGGAGUAUGGUUGCAAAACGGAAACUUAAAGGAAUUGACGGAAGGGCACCACCAGGAGUGGAGCCUGCGGCUUAAUUUGACUCAACGCGGGGAAACCUACCAGGCCCGGACACUGUAAGG